AAAGAGAUGACGGGGCACAGCAUGUCUUAUCAUUUGGCGUACUACACUGUGGUGGGUCUACAUGAUAGAAAAGAGAUGAGUACAGUUUUGAGCAGUGUGGCUUUGAUCACAGGCAGCCUAUCAUAAGAGAAGUGAUGAUGCUCUUUGAUGACAGCCAAGUCUGAGUGAUAUAAACCGGGUUGCCAAGUUUAAAACUUCAAACAGUAAGAUGUGCCAGUGAAAUCACUGUGUCAGAAUGAAACAAGCAAGCAAAUGCAGCCAGUAUAACAACAGCAGUGGAUUAAGGGAUAAGGCCCAGGCACCAAGAGAGGGCAAAGCUGCUAAGCUGGCUCACAGACAUUCUUAUAGUCUAAACAGAGCAAAUACCACUGAGCAGAUUUCACCACUCAUCAGACACAUUAAAGAGCCAGGGAAGCAUCUGCCAGUGGGUUAAUGGUGUCCCCAAGUGUCUAGGCUACAGAACAUUGCUUUCAUAAAUAAGAAUUUCAAUAUGAUAA
rnacentral:lncRNA from 10 species